ensembl:snRNA U6 U6 spliceosomal RNA
GUGCUCCUUCGGCAGCGCGUAUACCCAAAUUGGAACGAUACCGAGGAGAUUAGCACGGCCGCUGCGCAAGAAUGGCACGCAAAUGCGUGAAGCAGUCCGUACUUUA